rnacentral:rRNA from 1 species
GACGAACGCUGGCGGCGUGCUUAACACAUGCAAGUCGAACGAUGAAGCCGGAGCUUGCUCCGGUGGAUUAGUGGCGAACGGGUGAGUAACACGUGAGCAAUCUGCCCUUGACUCUGGGAUAACUGCGGGAAACUGUAGCUAAUACCGAAUACGACACCUUGGGGCAUCCCAGGAUGUGGAAAGAAUUUCGGUCAAGGAUGAGCUCGCGGCCUACCAGCCAGUUGGUGAGGUAAUGGCUCACCAAGGCGACGACGGGUAGCCGGCCUGAGAGGGUGACCGGCCACACUGGAACUGAGACACGGUCCAGACUCCUACGGGAGGCAGCAGUGGGGAAUAUUGCACAAUGGGCGAAAGCCUGAUGCAGCAACGCCGCGUGAGGGAUGAAGGCCUUCGGGUUGUAAACCUCUUUUAGCAGGGAUGAAGCGAAAGUGACGGUACCUGCAGAAAAAGCACCGGCUAACUACGUGCCAGCCGCCGCAGUAA